CGCAAUGCAACAUAUCAGCUAAGUGGGAUUGAUUGUGGGGAAAAACUCCACAGUUAAGCGUGUUUGAGCCAGAGGUGUCUUGGGAUGGGUGACCACCUGGGAAGUCCUGGUUACCUGGUGC
rfam:Picea glauca, whole genome shotgun sequence.